CUAAAGCAGGCGUUGCAUCUUUUCAGGAAGCUCAGUCCUACUGUGAAAAGCAUUCUGUAUGUUCACUUCCAUUCUCAUAGCUUUUCUAACACCUUACACACUUUGCAGACCCUCCAUAGUACGGUGGGAUUACUGAAUGUCAGAGCAUCUGAACCACCUUGAAACUUUUGCUCAGCACUAUAAGCACAAGUGGACUAAAAGACAGGCUCUGGUGAACAUCUGCAUUUCUGUGAAGGUUUGACUCAUGUCUCAUUCAUACUGCGAAGGACAAGUCAGCUUUUCCAUUACUGCACUUUCCAAAGAUUGUGUUUGUUACACGGAUCUGCUUCGUCUUAAACUUUAAUUCAUCAGCCUGCAUCUGAUGAACUCAAGUUGAGCUUUCAACCGUCAAAUGAUUAUACGGGUAAUUUAUAGUUUGCUCAAAUAUUUGAAUAAUAAUCUUGUAAUAUCUGCAUAAAUUAUAGUUCAUUUGUACAUUUUUUUCAGGAAAUGAAGUUGCUGACGUAGCAUUUUCCAUAAAUCAGUACCAGUCCUAAAGUAAAAAGCAAAAUGAAGGUCAAUCAAUUAAAAAAAAAAAAAAAAAACUGUGUGGGUGGGAGACCUGCUUGAAUUUCCUCUGCAUGGGCUGUUGAACCACUUCCUAUUUGCUGCUUGCUCGAUGUAUACUGUUUGUGUCUCUCAGUGUCUGUGGUUUCAUUUCGAUGAGUACUAACUCUACAGAUCUCAGUAUUUGGUUUUGUCCUCGUUUCUAGAGAUGCGAGCUGCGAGAAUGUUCAUGCAUAACGGUUUUAUUUCUAUUUACCUUCUGAUUCUUUGGAAUUCCUCCACCUUCUCAGGAAACUGUAACACCUGCAGUUCCUCUUCGUUUCUUACUGGGAUGUGAGGCGGUGAUUCCAUGUCGACCUGUGAAGAGCCGCUCAGACUCUUUCAAAUGGUUUUUCAAGAAGAGCGACCAAAACGACCAAAUAGAAAUAUAUUCUGAGGAUAAGCAUGGAAAACAGCUUCACUCUGUCAGCCAUAAAAGAGGACAAGUUAAGGGUGAUCGCUCCCUGGUCAUUGAUAAUUUCACUGAGCUCGAUCAAGGAUCAUACUGGUGUGAAAGCUGUGACCGAACCGAAUGCAAAAAAUCCACAGUUUUCAGAGUGACGGAAGACAUUUGGAAGGAAACUAACACAACAGUUCAUGUUGUAGAAGGCAGGACUUUUGAGCAAGUAUGUCCGGGUGGAAUAAUCCCCUCACAAUGGACUUUUGAAGGACAAAAUCUUCAUGAAAAAUCCUCACUUGGACCAGAAUCAAAAAUUUUGACGAAGAACAAGCACAUACGUAUCAGAGAUGUGAAAACAGCCCAUGCUGGUCGAUAUACCUGCUGGACGAGAGGCUGCCGCAGAGCCCAGAAGCUUCUCACCGUUUGCUUGUGUGUAUUGAGAGCUCACCAGAGAAAGGAUUCAUCCUCUUGUGCCUUGACAUGUGAUGUGGAAUCCUGGAAAAUCACUUCAGACACAGUGAUCAAUACUUCUAUAUCAAUGCAUGUAGAGCCAGAUGGGCCUUUACUUUGCAGUUCGACACAGACGUUUGAUGAGAACGCAACAGUAACCAGCAGUUAUGUUGCAGUAAAUGCAUAUAACACAACAGGUAGAGAAGAGCCAAAACAUCAGACUCCAGUCAGAUACAUAGUGCCUCUCAUCGUUUCAUGGCUCAUGAUCAUCACACUUUCCUUCUUGUUCUUCAGAUCAAGACUGUGGGCGGCAUAUUCAAAUCGCUGUCGCUGUGGAGGGAAUGACAACGCGGAAGAAGAGACUUCGGUGGUCUACUCGACGAUUCUCAUCAGGACACAGAACAAAGCAAUUCAUCAUAAUAUCUCUGAAUAUGAUUGUAUUUAUAGUGAAAUAAAUGUCUGAGGACAAAAACUC